rnacentral:rRNA from 1 species
UACGUAGGGGGCUAGCGUUGUUCGGAAUCACUGGGCGUAAAGGGCGCGUAGGCGGCUUUGUAAGUCGGGGGUGAAAGCCUGUGGCUCAACCACAGAAUUGCCUUCGAUACUGCAUGGCUUGAGACCGGAAGAGGUAAGUGGAACUGCGAGCGUAGAGGUGAAAUUCGUAGAUAUUCGCAAGAACACCAGUGGCGAAGGCGGCUUACUGGUCCGGUUCUGACGCUGAGGCGCGAAAGCGUGGGGAGCAAACAGG